UACGGGGGGGGGCAAGCGUUGUUCGGAAUUACUGGGCGUAAAGGGCGCGUAGGCGGCCUGCUAAGUCGAACGUGAAAUCCCUGGGCUCAACCCAGGAACUGCGUCCGAUACUGGUUGGCUUGAAUCCGGGAGAGGGAUGUGGAAUUCCAGGUGUAGCGGUGAAAUGCGUAGAUAUAUGGAGGAACACCAGUGGCGAAGGCGGCUCUCUGGGCAAUUCCUGACGCUGAGGCGCGAAAGCGUGGGGAGCAAACGGG
rnacentral:rRNA from 1 species